rnacentral:rRNA from 1 species
GAAUUCGCCCUUAGAGUUUGCUUCUGGCUCAGGACGAACGCUGGCGGCGUGCUUAACACAUGCAAGUCGAGCGGGGAUCUCGUUGGAAGUCCUUCGGGACGGAAGAUGAGAUUCUAGCGGCGGACGGGUGAGUAACGCGUGAGCAAUCUGUCCCAGACAGGGGGAUAACACUUGGAAACAGGUGCUAAUACCGCAUAAGACCACGGGCCCGCAUGGGCUUGAGGUAAAAGGAGCGAUCCGGUUUGGGGUGAGCUCGCGUCCCAUUAGCUAGUUGGCGAGGUAACGGCCCACCAAGGCGACGAUGGGUAGCCGACCUGAGAGGGUGAACGGCCACAUUGGAACUGAGACACGGUCCAGACUCCUACGGGAGGCAGCAGUGGGGAAUAUUGGGCAAUGGGCGCAAGCCUGACCCAGCAACGCCGCGUGAGGGAAGAAGGUUUUCGGAUUGUAAACCUCUGUCCUAAGUGACGAAGGAAGUGACGGUAGCUUAGGAGGAAGCCCCGGCUAACUACGUGCCAGCAGCCGCGGUAAUACGUAGGGGGCGAGCGUUGUCCGGAUUGACUGGGCGUAAAGGGCGUGUAGGCGGCCGAUUAAGUCUGGAGUGAAAGUCCUGCUUUUCAAGGUGGGAAUUGCUUUGGAUACUGGUUGGCUUGAGUGCGGAAGAGGUAAGUGGAAUUCCCAGUGUAUCGGUGAACUGCGUAGAGAUUGGGAGGGAACACCCAGUGGCGAAGGCGACUUACUGGGUCGUAACUGACGCUUAAGGGCCAAAGCGUGGGGAGCAAACAGGAUUAAAUACCCUGGUAGUCCACGCCGUAAAC